GAUGAAGAACGUAGCGAAAUGCGAUACUUGGUGUGAAUUGCAGAAUCCCGUGAACCAUCGAGUCUUUGAACGCAAGUUGCGCCCGAAGCCAUUAGGCCGAGGGCACGCCUGCCUGGGCGUCACACGUCGUUGCCCCCCCAUCUACUCCUUCGGGAUUGCGGGGGGCGGAUGAUGGCCUCCCGUGCGCCUCGUCGCGCGGUUGGCAUAAAUGCCUAGUCCUCGGCGACGCACGCCACGACAAUCGGUGGUUGCGAAACCUCGGUUGCCCGUCGUGUGCGGUCGUCGCGCAUCGAGGGCUCGAAAAAAUUGCCGGGCUCCGGCUCGGCUUUCAACGCGACCCCAGGUCAGGCGGGGUUACCCGCUGAAUUUAAGCAUAUCAAUAAGCGGAGGA
rnacentral:misc_RNA from 1 species